UUAAAGUCUAAUCUGCCCUAUGAGGGGUUAAAUGGCCGCGGUAUUUUGACCGUGCAAAGGUAGCAUAAUAAUUAGUUUUUUAAUUGAAAGCUGGAAUGAACGAUUGGACGAGAAAAUUACUGUCUCAAUUUAAUUUAAUUAGAAUUUUAUUUUUAAGUAAGAAAGCUUAAAUUUUAUUAAAAGACGAGAAGACCCUAUAGAGUUUUAUAACAUUUUAUUUAUAAAUUUUUUAGAAUAUUUUUGUUUGUAUUUUAAUUGUUAUUUUAUUGGGGUGAUAGAAAAAUAUGAUUAACUUUUUUUAUUAUAAAUUCAUUAAUAUAUGUUUAAUUGAUCCAUUAUUUAUGAUUAUAAGAUUAAAUUACCUUAGGGAUAACAGCGUAAUUUUUUUUUAGAGUUCUUAUCGAAAAAAUAGAUUGCGACCUCGAUGUUGGAUUAAAAUAAAUUAUUGGUGUAGAAGCUAUAUAAUUAGGUCUGUUCGACCUUUAAAAUUUUACA
rnacentral:rRNA from 1 species